rfam:Oryza glumipatula chromosome 2, whole genome shotgun sequence.
AAUAAGUACAGUUUUACACUGUUCAUAUAUAACGUUUGACCAUUUGUCUUAUUUAAAUUUUUUAUGAUUAGUAUUAUUAUUAUUAUUAGAUGACAAAACAUAAAUAGUACUUUAUGUGUGACUAUUUUUUUUUUAUUUUUUUUAUAAAUUUUUCAAAUAAGACAAACGGUCAAACGUUGGACACGGAUAACCACGACUGCACUAAUU